ACCCCUCUUCCCGUGCAGCCUGCAGCUCUGGGGCCGCUCAGGCUAAGCCUAUGCACCCCGCUAUGCACCCGCCUGGGCACCCUGCUAUGCACCCGCCUGGGCACCCUGCUAUGCACCUGCCUGGGCACCCCAAUAAGCACCUGCUUGUGCACCCUGCUGUGCACCCGCCUGGGCACCCCGCUAUGCACCCGCCUGAGCACCCCGCUAUGCACCCACCUCUGCACCCGCUGGGCACCCGGUGUCCCCGAGCUGGCCGCGGCUCUGGGGGCUCACAGGCUGGGCCAGCCCGGCCCCGCUGCCCCCCAGUCACCGGUCACCCCGCAGCCACGCCGGGCAGCCGCCGGCCCCAGGGGACAGCACCGCGCGGCAGCUCUUCCCCACGCUGUCGCCAAAGGAGGGAGCCGCCGGCGCCCGCGGCACCCCUGGGGCUCGGAGGCCGCGCGUGGGAGCGCCUCGGCAACGCGGAGCUGGCGCUUUGAAGACCUGACGGGCUGGAAGCCCCGGCGGAGCCCUUGGGACGGGGAGGGCUCCCAUCAGAGCAACCGCCAGCCCGGCCGUGCCAGCCCGACCGGAGCCGCUCCCCACCUCGCCCCUCGGCGACGACGUCCCCCCUCCCCGGUGCCGGCACCCUGCUGGGCGGCCGAGCCCCUCGCGGGCAUCAAGGAAUUUUGCAAAACGCGCAUUUUGGAAAGCAGCCGGAAGGGCCCUGCCCAGCCACCCGCCGCCGGGGCGAGCGGGCCCGGCCGGGCCUGGGGGUUCGGGGAGGCGAGCGGGACCAGAGGCACCCGCCGGCCCCGGCCCGGCAGUGCCGAGGCUGCAGGCGCAGGGCGCAUCCGACGCGGGGAGCUGGGAGGAGCGAGCCUGACGCCCGGCCAUCCCGACGCGCCGCUCCCUGCCGGGGCAGACGGGCCGGACGCGCAGAGGCAGCGAGAGCGCAGCGAAACGGCCGCGGGGGCGCUUCCCGACGCCCGCCCGAGGCAGGGCACCGCAAGGAGCCGCCCCGUCUCCCGGGAGCAGCGUGGGUGUGCGGAGGGAUCCCAGAGCCGGACUCGCAAGGAGCUUCCCUCCAGCCCGGAAAGCCGCCGUCUUUCCCAGGGAUGCCCCAAGGCCCCUCCGGCAGCGAUGCCAAGGGCUGUGCGCGCCCGGCACUGGGGUCCCAGUGCGCCUGGCUGGGUCAGCCCUGUGGCCAUGGACCCUGCGACGGCACACGCGGGCUGGACCCUGCAGAGACGCACGUGGGGCGGCAGCGCGUGGACAGGGCGGCCCUGGCAGGGCGGGCAGCGAGGACCGGCCCGGUCACUGCCACGGGGCAGCAGGGGCACCUGGGCUCGGGGGAGGCUGCUGGUGCCGGGGAGGUGUUUGCAGGGGGCUGGUCCCGAUGGGGCAGCGGUGGGGAGGGCUGGGGUGUCCGUACAGCCAGGGGAUCGAGGGGGGGUUCCCCCCCCCCCAGUGCAGAGCAGAGUACUACAGCCACUACAGUCCAGGGAGGUACGGCACAGCAUCCGUCCCUCACCGUGCAAGGCACAGGAGAAAGCCACACACACAAGCGCACACACACACGCACACACAUACAUACACACAAACAUGCACGCAUACAGGCAUGCACACACACAUACGUACAUGCAUGCAUAUAUAUACACACAGGCAUGCACACACGGGCAUGCACGGAGCCAUGCACACACACGCGUGUCUGCAUGUACACACGCACACGGGCACGUGCCCACAGGCGCUGGGGUUUGCACACACACGCAGGUAAACACAGACACCCGUGGGCGCACGUGCAAAGAUGCAUGCGGGCAUGUGCACGCACACACACGUAAGUGAACACGCACAUGCAUGCACGUCCAGGCACACAGGCACACGGGCCUAGCGCGGGGAUCCGAUCCGAUCCGAUCCGAUCCGAUCCGAUCCGGCCCAGCCUGGCCUGGCCUGGCCCAGCCCGGCGGGGGCGGAGCUCUCUCGGAGGCCCUGCCCCUUAACGCUUUGCUGCCCGGGCCGGGAGCGCCGUGUCCGGCGCCCCCGAGGCGAGCGAGCCCCGGCACAGCACCCCGGGGCACUGGGACCCCCACGGCAGGGGAGCCCACGCGGCCCCCCCGAGCCCACUCCCCGGGCACAGCAGCCCCGGGCACGGCACGAAACAGCCCCCGACGGCGCACUUCCCGCGCACGGCACGGCACGGCACGGCACGGCACGGCUCCCCGACAGCACAGUCCCCGCAGCGACCCGGCCACGGCCCCGUCCCCCGGUGCUGCCCCAGGGCUCGGUACGGCCCCCGACACCGCGCUCCCCGGGCCCGGCCCGUGCCCGUC
ensembl:lncRNA